rnacentral:rRNA from 1 species
CAGCAGCCGCGGUAAUACGAAGGGUGCGAGCGUUACUCGGAAUUACUGGGCGUAAAGCGUGCGUAGGUGGUGGUUUAAGUCCGUUGUGAAAGCCCUGGGCUCAACCUGGGAAUUGCAGUGGAUACUGGGUCACUAGAGUGUGGUAGAGGAUAGUGGAAUUUCCGGUGUAGCAGUGAAAUGCGUAGAGAUCGGAAGGAACAUCUGUGGCGAAGGCGACUAUCUGGGCCAACGCUGACACUGAGGCACGAAAGCGUGGGGAGCAAACAGGAUUAGAUACCCGGGUAGUCCCUGUCUCUUAUAC